rfam:Schistosoma rodhaini strain Burundi genome assembly, scaffold: SROB_scaffold0009777
AUCCAGCUGACGAGUCCCAAAUAGGACUAAACGCGGGUCCUGGAU